rnacentral:rRNA from 1 species
UACGAAGGGGGCUAGCGUUGUUCGGAAUUACUGGGCGUAAAGCGCGCGCAGGCGGUCUUCCAAGUCAGUGGUGAAAGCCCGGAGCUCAACUCCGGAACUGCCAUUGAAACUGUAAGACUUGAGGAUGAGAGAGGUGAGUGGAAUUCCCAGUGUAGAGGUGAAAAUUCGUAGAUAUCGGGAGGAACACCGGUGGCGAAGGCGGCGAUCUGGGUCGAUACUGACGCUGAGGUGCGAAAGCGUGGGUAGCGAACAGG